rnacentral:rRNA from 1 species
GGACUUACGGCGAGUGAAGAGGGAAGAGCUCAAAUUUGAAAGCUGGACCUUCGGUAUCCGCGUUGUAACCUCGGACUUUUCCGUGCGGCGCUGGACAAGUUCCUUGGAACAGGGAUCGAGGGGUAAAAUCCCGUACUUGCCAUGGAUGUACCGUGCUUUGCGUCGGCUCUAGGUCAAGUUGUUKGGGUUGCAGCUCAAAGGGGUGUAGACUCCAUCUAAGCUAAAAUCGGGGGAGACCGUGCGACGGUGCGGAGGGAAGAUGAAAGCACUUGGAAGAGGUUAAAGUACGUGAAAUUGUCGAAAGGGAAGCGCUUGAAUCAGCCAUGCCGCUCAGGACUCAGCUGGCUUUUGCUUGUUAUUUCCUGGUAGCAGUCAGCAUUGGUUUGGAUCGUCGGAGAAGAUAGCGAAGUGGCGCCCUCGGGCGUGUUAUAGCCUUCUAUUGGAUACGCGAUCUAGCCAAGGACGCAGCGCGCCUUAUGGCGGGUCUUCGGACACCUUCGCGCUUAGGAUGCUGGCGUAAGUUUAAGUGGCCCGUCUUGAACGCCA